UGCGGUGAUGAUGGCACGAAGGAUACACCUGUUCCCAUUCCGAACACAGAAGUUAAGC
rnacentral:rRNA from 1 species